UUAUUUGAGAUGCAUUUCUUCAUCAGGUUAGACUGAAGCUGCUGCAUUUCCUGAUGGUUUAUAGCUAUUCUGGAAUACUUUUCACUUGGACAGAAGCCAUACUUUGUAAUCUGUCCUCUUUACUACAUAUCUUUAUCUCUUCAAAAAAGAUGCAACCCCUAGAGGUCAUAUUGUUGCAUUUCAGUAUAAUGCUAAGUUUGACAGAGUCCUAUUUAAACAACAAAAACAGGGCGCCUGGGUGGCGCAGUCGGUUAAGUGUCCGACUUCAGCCAGGUCACGAUCUCGCAGUCUGUGAGUUCGAGCCCCGCGUCAGGCUCUGGGCUGAUGGCUCAGAGCCUGGAGCCUGUUUCUGAUUCUGUUGUCUCCCUCUCUCUCUGCCCCUCCCCCGUUCAUGCUCUGUCUCUCUCUGUCCCAAAAAUAAAUAAACGUUGAAAAAAAAAUUUAAACAACAAAAACAAAAUUUGGAAAAAAUGAUGGAGACUGGUAGGUUCUGUGUGUGACAAACACUAGGGCAUGCAGUCUUAUAGUGGUAUAAAUUUCCUCUGGGAAGGAUGCAAAAUGAAAUGAGACAAAACAGGGGUAAUAAUUUAGCCUAUUUCAUACACUACUUAAGAGAAAUAAUAUUUUUUUAACACUACACAAACAUAUUUGGAACCCAACACUUUGUAAGUCUUUGGAAAGAAAGUGGCAAAAAGAAACUGUAGAAUUGAGGGAAAGGUUGCAUUAGGAGGCUGUGGGAAGUGAGGGUACAGCUGUGGAAGUCAAACUUUCUUGUUAUUUGCUCAGGGCAUGCCCUCUGCUGAGCCACUCAUUCUCCUGGUGGUAGAGUCCCUUCUGACUGCUCUCACCCAGCAAGCUACCAUUUACCACAGUACUGAAAGCUAAGCAAACUGUCACUAAGUGUCUCACCUUCCCCACAGAGCAUUUUUGGCUUUUAUUUCUGAAGGGAAUCAAUCCAGUUUCAUUAAGAAAGAUUUCCUCUAUGCUUAAACUAACUACAUUUCCUUCCACUACUUAAACCAAGGCUCAGGCGUACCCACCCUCAUUUCCGAAUAUUUGUUUCCAUUUUCCUCAGACAAUGAGGAUGACAGUGAUUUGUGGUUAAAGGGCCCGAACACCUGAGUGACAAAUGUAAUCUUUCAUUAAAAAAGAAAAUUUAAAGAAGAAAAUAUAUCAAAAGUGUCCAGUCAAGAUAAUUAAAUAAAUAAAACUGUUCAAUUUUAUAAGAGCUUAGACACAAUAUGACUGGCCUUCUGUGACCUGUUUGCCAGUUAGGGCAAGGUUAUGGCUCCUGAAAUAGAAGAGGGACGUAAUCAAUAUCCUUGCAACUAAUUUGUUUUUAUGUAGACAAGAAUAUCAAGAAGUGCACUUGACCAUAGGCCACAGGCAGAGUUCUCAGAGAAAGAGGGCUUUUUCCCCCAGUUUUCCUUCUGCUUGAGUUAGAUUUUAACUGAUGUACAUAAUAAAACACUGUCUAUCUUAAUGAUAGAGAACAAACUAUGGGUUGACGGAGGGAGGUGGGUGGAAGACGGACGAAGGGAAUGAUAGAUACUAUGGAGGGCACUUGUGAUGCACACUGGGUGUUAUAUGUGAUGAAUCACUGAAUUCUAUUCCUGAAACCAAUAUUGCACUGUAUGUUAAUUAAACAGAAUUAAAAUUAAAAAACAACAACAACACUGUCCAUUAUCCAUGUAGAUACCAAUCUAACUAAGCUUCUGAGCCAGAUAUUUCAACCCAGGGAACACCUUUGUGAAAUUAUUUUUAUUUGUAUAUAUUAUAUACAAAUGUAUGCAAUUUUAUGAUAUAUAUUAUAUAUAUGUGUACACAAUUAUAUAUUUAUAUAUUCAAUUUGAAUAUAGCAUAUAUACAUAUACAAUUGAAUUAACAUACAUACGUAUUAUAAUUUAAUUUGUUAAUAUUUAAUAAUAUUUAAUUGAAGUGUGGUUGGCAUACAAUGUUCUAUUAGUUUCAGGUAUAUAACAUGGUGAUCCAGCAACUAUAUGCAUCACAGAAUGCUCACCAUAAUAAGUGUAGUUGCCAUCUGUCACCAUACAAAGCUAUUACAAUAUUAUUGACUAUAUUCCCUAUGCUGUAUUUUUCAUCCCCAUGACUUAUUUAUUUUAUAACUGGAACUUUGUACCUCUUAAAGCCCUUCAUCUAUUUUGCCCUAUUUUGUGUUAUUAUAUAUUUUGAUUAAAGAUUACCUAAUUUGGUAUAGCCCAAUUUAUCUUAGCAGGAGGUUCUUCAAUUAUCCAAUAUUCCCUCUAUGUAAAUUCCUUUCUAUCCAGAAGGAUUUGGCUGUCUCAAGGCCCCAAAUGGUGAUGGCAAGACUUUUCUUAAACAAUGUUUUUCUAUUUUAAAAAGUAAUAUAGUCACAUUACUGAAAAUCCCAUGCUUACUCAUCAAUAUAAGUAUCUAAAAUGCUUUAUACCUGCAUUUAUUCAUUCAAUGGGUAUGCAAUAAAAUCUUGUUUGUUGUUUAAAUUUCACUAUCAGUUGAAUAACUGCACAGAUGCCAGACAUUGUGUUAGGUGUAGUCUCAUGAAUUACCUUCUAAAUUCAUCACAAUAAUCCUAAGUAGGUGAUAUUGCCUUCAAGAGAGCUUGCUAUGUCAGGGGUAGGGGGGAGUUGGGGCAGCAUGAUUAAGAUGCAGGCCCUGUUCCACAGAAAUACAACUAAAUUCAAUUAGAUUUUUUUUAAUCCAAUCUUUAGCAUCAUUAAAAAGUUUCUUAACCAUCAUUUCAAGUUUCUUAACCAACUAGUCAUAGCUUCACCUUUGUACCACUUUUGACUCUAUUUCUGAAAGCCUACGGUAUCAUUCUAUGGUAUCCAAAGCCAUUACACAACACACUCAUUCCUGAUGAAAAUCUUACAAAGUGCUGCAUGCUCUUGGUCCCAGAGAAGACUAAAAUGCAUUAGAUGAUUUGGCCCAAAUUCAUCAUUUGUAAUGAAAGCAACUCAAUGUACACAGCCCACCGAUACCAAGACUCUUAUGUCACUUUACAUUAUAAAGACCCUUUUCAUUGUAAUGUGUCUGUGAUCCAUUAAACUCAGAAAGUAGAAAAUGUAUCAGUAUUUUGCCAUUGUUUACAAAGCAAGUACAAAGGCUAUAUCUAGGAUAACUGAAGGUUAAUGGGAGAGGGAUUCUCAGCUGCAUUUUACAAGCAAAAAUAGUGAAUGACAAAUAUGAAAUUACAGAGAUAUAUAAUGCUAAUAUAUUCAUGGCCAUAGGUGAAAUUAAUUGGCAGAGGCUAAAAUUCAUUGCAGUGGUACCAUUAUAUCCUCAAGAUUUUAUAAUCUUCCUCCAACCCUCAUUCUACAGGGAUCAGAUCAAACCAGCCACAUCAUGACUCAACACCACUGCUGAGUAAUUUGGAUUACUCACCUGGUUAUCUUCUGAUAUCUGGACUGCUAUCAUUACCUGAACAUCAGUGAUCUUUUACUUAAAUUAGAGGAGGUUCCGUUUUCUAAAAGUUUAAGAAAACUCAUCCAGGUUAAGUCCUCAUACUUAAAAGAAUAUUGCCUCAUUUUUUUCCUACUAUUUUCCCCCAAAAAAGAGACUCUGUGUACAAUGAAAGUUUCUGUCUACUCUUUUAUCUCUUUGUAGAUCAGGCAUGUCUCCAUGAAUCCUUUUAAAUGAAGUGUAACUUUAAAACAUUUUAGUUCAGACAUGGGGCAAAAUAUACUCUAGUCACUCAUAAAAGAACAAAUUAAAUUUUAGCCCAAGAUACUUGUGGAUAUAACGCCUACAGAUUUGGCAAUGCCAGCUGGGUAUAUUCUUCAGUGUCUCUUUAAAUCAUUCUUAAUGUAUAAAUGACAUUUAAAAGCCCCCUUUUCAUUGCAGCUGGCAGAGUACCUAAGACCAUAACAAGUUACUUCCCCAGUAAAUGUCAUUUUCCCUUAACCACAGGGCUAUAAUUCAAAACUGAAGAUUUUUUUUUUAAGAGAAGUGUUAAAAAAAAAAAAAGGCCCUCUGGGAAUGAAGCCUAGGAUUUCCCAUCUAUGUAAAAAGGGAGUUGUUACAGAGUGGGGGACUGGCUAGAGGCCAGGGGCCUAGAGUUACUACUUUCAAAAUGACUUUCCAACUAACUAUACCAGAGGGAAGUGUCCUAUAUCUACUCUAGCCAUGGCAACUUGCGGGGAGAGGGAAACAAAGAGAAGGCAGGUGGCGGAGCUUAAUGCAACACGGUGGUUAAAUACACACACUUUGAAACCAGAAAUCCAGGUUCAAAUCCAAGUUCUACACUUACUGACUUUGUAACCUUAGGCAAUUUAGUCUACCUUGUACCUCAGUUUCCUUAUUGUAAAAUGGAAGUAAUAAUGCACAGGUGUAUUAGUUUUCUAUUGUUUGCAGAACAAAGUGCCAUAACCAGCAGUUUCUGUGGACACAAAUAUAGUGGCUUAAAACAAAUGUAUAUCUCAUGGUUUUUGUGGGUGAGCAGUCAAGUACAUUUUAGUGCCUAUGUUUACUACGCUCAGAGUCCCACAAGGCUGAAAUCAUGGUGUUGACUGGAUAUAUCCUUGUCUGGGGUCUUAACUAGAAAAAGAUCUGCUUCUAACUUCUCUGAGUCAUUUCCAUGUGACUACAUGACUAAGGUUGCCACUUUUUUUUUUCUUACUGUAAAUCAAAGGGCCAUUCUCAGCUUUUAGAGGCUGCCUGCUCUUCCUGCCAUGUGGCCUUCUCCCCAACAUAGCAGUUUGCUACAUCAAGACCAGUAGAUGAAUCCUUUUUACACUACAGUUCUGUCAGCAUGGGCCCAGUCCCUUUGAAGGGCUCAUCUGAUUAAGUCAGAAGCAUCUAGGCUAAUCUCUCUUUUGAUUAACUCAGAGCCAGCUGAUUACGGACCUUAGUAACAUCUACAAAAUUAUUUCACCUUAUAAAUAAAAUAAUCAUGGAGCAGAACCUUCAUAUUUAUAAGUCUCAUUAAUACUGAAGUGGGUGUGGAGGGGGGAACAGAUCAUACAGGGUAUACAGGUAUAUACAAGGGGGCAGGAAUCCCGGGAAGCAUUUUAGAAUUCUAAGACAACAGGCUUUCAGAACCCUAGAAAGGACUGAGUUAUAAUAAAUGUAAAACAUUUAGUCCUUGACUAGGUAUAUGCACUAUGUUAAUUUUUACCAUUAUUAUUCUUCACAGGCUAAAUUUCUUAGGAAGAAACACUGGGUCUAAAUGACCUGUCCAAUCAUUGUGUUCUUGUGCUAGAGUUGGGAUUAAAUCCAGACCUCUCCUGAUCUGUUCAAGGUUUUCCUCUUCAUGCUACAUCCUCAAUGACAUUUGACCUAGGAUAACCUUCUUGGAAAAUGAUUCUCCCUGCAGCUGUUUCCUCUGUUUCUUUUUUAAAAAAAAAUUAUUCAAUUUAAACUCAAAAGCAAAACCAAAAACUCAGCAGUUCCUCUGCUUCUAAAGCAGCUAUUUCAAAAAAAAAAUAGUACCUCCUCCUCAUUACCUUGAAUGAACAGGUAACAAAACCCUUCUUCAUGGGACCACUAUGGUGGGUGGGCUCUGCCAUCUAAUCCUCAAGACGUGCAUGGGACAGGGAGAAAGGAGUCACACCAAUAUGUCCAAGCCACAGAUUCUGCCUGCACAAAUCACUGCAGAUGUACACUGUUGCCUCAGAAGGGGCUGGCCAACAAGGACCAGGGUCAUAUCGUAUAUAGAAGAUGUCUGAGUUUCUAAAGCUGCUCUUCCUUCCCACCAAAGUAUAAAUCACAGCUUGAGUUUGUAGAUUGGCUGGUACUGUCAACUUACCCAGUUCACUCAAAUAAAUACACAAAACUCCCACAGUCAAUUUGGGGAAGGAAGUUCUUUACUUUGACUCCAUAUCUAAUUAGAUUCAGGAGGAUUUUUUGCGUCCUGAAGGCUGGAACAUGCCUGUAGUGACAUACCAGAUCUAUCUUUUGUGCAUACUUCAGUGGGAUGCCUCUAAACAGAAACUUAAAAAAUAAUAAUAAUUACAAAUUCCUUCUCACCAACCUGCCUUUUCCUCAGGGAAUCACUGAUAUGCUAGACAGACAUUGAUUGGCAUGCAAUGCCAAUCCCUGGAAAAUGUGAGAUAAUGAGGGUAAAGUUUUCAGGUGUUGACUUCCAACAUCAGUGAUGUCAAAGCAAGUAUAUGGGGAAGAAGAUGUGGGGCAGUAGAUGGAAUUACAGCAGCCUUAUUUGUAUAUGAUAAAAAAUUUUGAAAUCAUGUUCUACUGACUCUCCCCUACCGUGUGUGUACUAGGUUCGCCAGGGCUGCCAUAAUGAAGUAGUGGAUGGAUUAAACAGUCUAGAUGGAUUAAACAGAAAUUUAUUUUCUCAUAGUUGUGGAUAUUUAGAAUCAAGAUCAAGGUGUUUGUAGGGUUGGUUUCUUCUGAGGCUUCUUUCCUUGGUCUGUAGAUGGCUACCUUUGUUUUCACAUGGUCUCUCUCUUUAUAUGUCUGUGUCCUAAUCUCCUCUUCUAAUAAGGACACCAGUCAUACUGGAUUAGGGAACACCUAUAUGGCCUCAUUUUGCAUUAACUGCCUGUUUAAAGAACCCGUCUCUAAAUACAAUUACAUUCUGAUAUAUUGGGACUCAUGACUUCAACACAUGAAUCGAGGAGCGGCACAAGCCAGUCCAUAACCCAAUGUGUUUAUGAAGUGUAUCACAUUUCUAUUUAGCGUUAAAGUGGAGGAAGUGAAUGUUGCCAGCAUAUUAAGUGCUGAUGCUCUGUCUCUGCACCCUUGAUCAUACCUGACAUGCCUGCCACUUAUUCCAGUUACUGUGAAGAACAGAGUUGACAACAUAUUAAUAUGUGUUGCAGGGGGCAGGGAGAUGUUGAGCUUUUGAUGAGGUAAACUCAUUUUAGAAUUUAGAUAAUCAAAAAAACAAAAUGUAGAUUCAAGGCACCACUCACUCUGUCUCUGAUGUUCAUUGAUAUAUUCUUAUAGCUUGAAUAGUAUCUGAAGUUAGUAGAUAGUUAAUAAAUAUUUGUCAAAUGAAUGAGAAAGAGUUGCUAAAGGCAGGAGGAGAAGUAACUAAAAGAGGAAUGAAGUGGUGUCAAAACCAAACUACCAUUUUUUACAAGGGCUCCCCCCUCUAGAACAUAUUACUAAUAAAAACAGCACUGUUAUAUCUUUUCUCCCUAAAAAUAAGCAUGCCUUUUUAAAACUCACAUGCUAUUUCAUCUCAGCACAUAUUUCGUAUAUAGUAGGAGUUCAGUAAACACUUAUGAAAUGAAUUGCAAGUCCUCUGAUGUAGAGCUGUUUAAUUACUAUUCCAAUGGGUGCUUUCUAAUAGCUAGAACAAAAAAUAGCUGCUGGAAUCUAAACUCUCUUCUAUUCUUUUUACUUCUCAGCAAACACAAAAGACCACAUGACAGUGGUCUUUAUAUACAUAAAAACGCUUUAUAUCUUCUUUCUUGUUGCCAUUGUCUUCUUUUCUUGAAAAAAAAAAUCAUAGUUCUUUUAACACUCCUGAACAGUCCAUCUAUUUUGUGACUUACCUAACCAUUAUUUUAUUAAAUCAUAUGACAAUGUCUAAUCUCAUAUCAUCACGGGAAUAUUCUCUACAGUAUUCCUGAGACAUGUGUAAAUAUAUGUCUGCUUGAACAAUCCCAGUGAUGGGCAAGGUACUGCCCUGAAAGCUAAUGUAUUCCCCUCCAUUACUGAACCAAUGCAAAUAUUUGAAAAGUUUUUCCAUUCCUUGAACUUAGAUCUAACUCCUAUAAUGUCUACCCAACUGUCCUGAUUUUUUCCCUUUGUAUCCAUAUAGAAUUUAAAUCUAUCUUUUAACUUUAUAUAUUUUGAAUAUUUCAAAUUUCCUUUCUCUAGAGAACCUAUAUACCUUUCUUUCCAAUUUUAUAUUUCACAAUCUUAUUGUUGUUUUUAUAAGUCAUGCUGCCAAACAGUCUAGAAUAAUGAGAAUAGAAUUAUAAAAACUGGAACCAAGAUCAUCUCAUGGAUUUAAUCAGCAUAUUUAUCAUGUGGAAAAGGAGUCCUAGAGAACCAAAAUAUACACAUAAAGUUAGAGUCUUGUAUACCACUCUAUAUGCUGGAUAAAGGAAACCUCAAAUUCAUCUGGUUGUACCCAAGCUCCUCCAGCUGCUUUGUAUUUGCAAUGGUCCUAGCUAGCCCAAUUAAGUCCAAAUAAAAUGAGGCAGAGAUCAUAAAGCAUUUAAAGGGGAGAAAUUAACUGAGCCCCAUUUUAUUUUGUCAUCCAGAAAAAGAAAAACCCACAUCCAGGUGCUUGCUUAAGGCCAAAAAAAUAAAUUAUAUACAACAAACCCCACAAACUCUAAAAUAAAGCUUUAUGAGGUGUCAGAUUGUGAACUGAAUUUCCCUAGCUAUAAUCCCUACCAAAUGGUUUUAUGUGGCUUGUAACUCAAAUGUUUAGUCUGAAGGAGUCAAGGAAGAACUGAAUUCUUACCAGCAUUGAACCAAAGCCUAAAGAGCUAAAUCACCUGGCUGCAGGGUUGUGGCACAGACUGACCCAUGGACCACAGAGAGGAAGUCAGGACCUAUAAGGGAUUCUUUUGAAGGUGACUGUAGGGAAAAGUAAUGCAAGGCUAUUUGUGCUUUCAAAACCUGGUGUUCCCCCUUGAGGGCGUUUUUUUGUUUGUUUUUUUUCUGUAAUGUAUGCAAUCUUCUAACUGAAAGUACUGGAGAUAACUCAAUUCCAAAAUGCUUUAUCUACAAAAGUUUAGUUGGACAAAACACCCCUGAAGAUCCCUCAGCUCAUGGGGCAGGGAGAAUUUUUACUUCUGAAGCGCCAACCUGCUCUAAGGAACCUUAGAGCGAUAUUUAGUCCAACAGUGUAUUUCUCAAACUUGUGCUUGUGAAAGAAUCAUCUAGAGGUAGAGAGUGUGACAAAGGCAAUUUCAGGGCGCUACCACAAAAUUCUGAUGUAAUGGGGGCCAGAUGGGCCCAGGAAUCUGCAUUUGUACAACCAUUUUGAGCCUGAUGUCGGUGGUAAACAGACAUUGACUAGAAACACUGACCUAGUACAACUUUGUCACUUUAUAAACGAGUAAACCAAAGUCCAGAGAAGUUACACCAGCAACUUGGAAAAAGAACCUAAAAGAGAACUCACGUCUCCUGAUUUUGUUGCUCAAAGGUGCUUCCUCAAGUCUCACCACACAAUACAUAAUCUGAUAAAUAACAUCACAUCUCAAAAUACUGGAUGAUUACUCACACGGCCUGCUGGCAGAGUUCAAUCUGAACACCUUGCUCUUAGAGCCAGUGAGCUGUUUGUGGACCCAGGGAAGCUGCCUCUUGUGAAUAGAGUCUAAUCUAGAACAGAGGCUGUGUACUGCUGAACUCAGGCAGCUGUCCUCUGUCUGCAGCUGAUGAUCUGCUAUAAUAUGGACACCAGAGGUAAGGAGGUCGUGUAACCGAAGCUAUCACUUCCAGAAAUCCUACUUGUCAGCUUGGACAACAUUUUCUUUUGUGGGGUCCCAGCAUAUGUUCCCAGAUCUUUAUCUAUGAUGUACUUCAAUGAAUAUUUGUAAAGUUUUACUCAGUUGGUAUAUCAACUCACCCCUUUUUUUGUUUAUCACUGUGUUAGUUCAUAUACGUGAUGAAUCAAUGCACUUUUUCCACAUUUCACUGGAGACAUCACAGGUGCCUGCUCAGAGCUACUGCUGUCUCCUUGCAAGUAAAUACCUGUUAGACUUAGAAAAUAGACUUAGAAAAAGGUCUAAGACGAUAGUAGACUUUUACAUUUCACCAGAAAUUCUGGUGACCAACACUGGGAUGUAAUAUUUUUCUAUUUUUUUGUAAAGAGAUAGACCAUAUGACUACCUACUGUCACAAACAUUUCAUAAAAGAAGAUGCAUUUAAUGCCCAUAAAAUAGAAAGUAAUGACAUAAGUUUUAAAUAAUUAGUCUUCUGAACAACUCACUAUUGUGUCCAUCUUUACUACAAACAGUAAGAACUUGACAACAAAACAGCAACAGUCCUUGGACUAACAUUUGUUGACUCAACAUGACAUAUGGCCAUACUGAAUAAAAUGACUUAAUAAAAGUCAUUACCAGACUUUUUGGUCAUUACCAGAAUCCUUGUAUAACUUCCCUAAUUUGUUUAGUAUAAUGUCUAAUUUGUUUAUUUAAUCCAGUGUGUCACAAUUGCCUUAUCUGAUGAUUCCUCAGAAUUUGAGAUGCUUUCCCAGAAACCAAAGCUGCUUUGAGUUGUAGGAAGGUCACUUUUUUUUUUUUUAAAGAAACUAAUCUCAUCUGUGUUCUGUUCUCUUUACUCCUCUGUUACUGGUCAAGGUAUAGAAGGGAAAAUGAAUAUGACAAGUGAUACCAGCUGCUGAACUUGAGCUUUCUAAGCAUUCUCAUUACUGGGCAGAUUGAAUAUUCUUUUUAUUUUGAUUUGAAAAGUAUUUUUUAGAUCUAUAUCUUCUCAAAACAGAAAGAAGAUGCUUCCCAUUUCUCAUUAUAUCAGUUUUAUUGCAAGUAGCAUGGAGAUAAUGAAAGAUGUUUAAUAUUGGUUGCUUUUCAAAUGUGGAAAUUGCUGUUGUUCACUGAGAAGUGUGGUGAGAAAAGCUGUUUUCAGCUCAUAAAGUUGUGGUUGUUAUUUCAUAUUUUUAUAGAGCUCUAAAUGCACAGGGUGCUGACAAUAUUUGAAGUGGGGCCAAGCAUAUCAAAUUCCUGGACCAAAGCAGGUGGAGUAUAUAUACAGAUCCAAUGCAAUAAUAACCAAUGAUUCAAAGUAAACAUGUUAUAGCUCAGGACCACUGUAAAGGGAGGGCUAUAGAAGGGGAAGUGGCUUUAGCAUGAAGAAAAGAAGGGAUCCCCUUAUAGUAGAAAAUAAUACAAACUCUUUGAAUAAACCCUAGAGCCUCAAAAUCAGUUGUCCAAACCAGUAUUUUCUUUAAGAAGUCUUUCAUGUUCCAAUUUCCGAGCAGAAAAAAACAAAUAUGCUGCAGGCCAAUAAUUCAGAUGUCAAGUGUAUGCACAUAUAAUACAUUUUGAUGUACACACAUUGAUCCCUAGACACAAAGCCAUUCAAUCUUCAUCAGUUAUUGAACUGAAAACCUGGAAAUGCCCUUAUUUAGAGGUGCAAAUAAUGCCUUUCUCUUUAAGCAAAAGGAGAAAAUCCCUCUAAAUGGUGGAGGUUCUUUGAACUCUGUUAAUAAAUCAAUCCAAGAAUAGAGCACUGUGUUCACAACAUGAUCAAUCAAAAGCCACAUACAAAAUGGAAAAAAAAUCUUCCAGAGCAGUGCCAGAGGCUUAUCACAAUUGCUUCCUGACAGAAAGAGAGGAUAAACAAGCUCAGGACAAGGCCAACCAAAGACUGGUCCAGAGACCUUGUUCCUUAUUGCUUUAGGUAUCAAAAUAGGAAGUAAACAGCUUAGAAACAGUUCUGAGAAUUGCCUGAAGGAAGUGCUGCUUCCUCUCCCUGCACUUGCUAAGUCUGCUUAUCUUUCAUCCUCUCAGCAUAGCCUUUUGCAAGCUGGCUGAGACCCUUUAGCAAAGACCAUCUUUUCCCAUCUGCCUCUGACCUAAUGCCAUCCAGCUGACCCAAUAAAUCCGCUCUCCUCUCUGGCCAACAAAAUAUGAUAAGAAAAUGAAGGCACAAACAAAGUUCACCAAUUUCCAUUCAAUGAGCCCCCUUAAAAAAUGCAGACAUCUGGCUCAUGGAAAUAUCCACCAUACUGUGGGAAAAAAUGGGCACUGAGGCUGGGUAAGCUUCCAGCACCACCCAAACAGCAUCUUAGCAUGACUGAACUACUUCAUCAGGCUUCCCAGGAGUAACCAAUAAACAACUCUGGAGCUCAUUAACUGUCCAGCCUAGUGUUGGUUCCUACCAAAAAAAAUAUGUAAGCUUAUUUUACGAGGAGCCUGGAUUUGUGUUACCACCUAUCAGACGAUUUUUAAUACACCAUCAUCACCAGCUGGCACCUGAUACUUACAUAAGGCUUUUCAUGCAUGUAUGCCCACAGAGCAUUAAUGCACCUGGCUGUCCAAGUUCUUCUGUGAGCCAAAGAAAGUUCCUAUAUUCACUUAGUUGCCUAUUCUUGGCUUUGCACAUCCUAAUUCUAAUUCAUGUUAAGGUGUUCAUAAAGUGAGCCCUAGGUCAUCUGAGUCCCAUUCAACCUGAGAUUUUGAUAUGAAACAUAAAUGCAUUAAAUUGAAGGCAAUUAACAAUUCAAGAUUGUCUCAGAGGAAAUGGGCUAGGUUUCCAGGAUAAGAACAAUACCCAUCUUGGUUUCUAUCUUGGCCUUCAGUUCUCCAAAUUCUACAAAAUCUUUGAUACUGAAUUGUCUCUUGAAUAACUGAAUGUUUUAAUCCUGUGUAUGCUUUAAAGCCACAGACAAAAUAUACAUCUAAAAGACAUGCAAUUAUGCUGGGGUUUUAUAAGCAUAAAGAGGGCAAAUUGUUGGAUGUCAUACUUCUUUUACAGUUUCUUUAUGACACAAUUCAGUAAGUCAUUCUUUAACAAGAUUUACCACAGAAUCAACCUUUAUGAUAAAGAAGCUGAAACCAUCAUGGUUUCUUCAGAUCUCUUUAAAGGCAGAGUUGUAAAGAGCAUUUACAUUGCUUUCUAUAGAGCACUCAUCUGACCAGGCAGUAUUUGGGGCAUUACCUUUAUAGUGUUGAUCAUAUAAAUAUUAUUUUUCUGUGGUUUUUCAGUGAACUAAUCACAUUUAACAUCAUAUUAAGGAAGUCAUUUUAGUAGGAGCUUUAUUUAUGGAGAAAAUUUCAGCCAAAGUGUAUGCAGAAAAAUUAUUGAUAUUAUGAUUUGGUUGGAGAAUCAAAAACCAUGCUAAAUGAAGUCUGAAUUUCACAAAUGCUGCUCUAUGGAGGAACGAGAAAAUUCAUUUGGACUGAAUAUUUAAUUUCCCACACUGAACUGUUAAGAAUUCUUUCUUUCUUCUCCAUGUAUUGCAUUUACAGAGAAAAUAUAGGACCCCUCUAUGAUUAAACUCCAUAUCCCCUUGGAGGAAAACUGAACUGAUUGGGAGUCAGAUGACUGAGCAGGGGUAGAGUCUGUAAUGAAAACUACCACUGAAGACUUGACAAAUUGAGGUGUCCACUUCAGGUCCUUCAAACUACUGUAAGUAAGCAGUGACUAGGGAAUUAACAGGAGGAAGAAGGUGACAACUCACAGGCUAGUCCUAAACAUAAACAUUAUCAAUUCAUAAAGUAUAUCUCUAUGUUUCUCUUCUUCAACUAUUUCCCACUUUUUCUUUCCAUCAAUAAAACAGAACUGGGGCACCUGGAUGGUUCAGUCAGUUGAGUGUCCAACUUCAGCUCAGGUCAUGAUCUCGAGGUUUGUGAGUUCGUGCCCCACAUCAGGCUCGCUGCUGUCAGACUGUCAGCACACAGCCCGCUUAAGAUCCCCUGUCCCCCUUUCUCUGCCCCUCCACCACCUGCACUCUCCCCAAAAUAAAUAAAUAUUUUUUAAAAAUAAAAUAAAACAGAACCUAUUCCCGUCAGUCAGGGUCCAACCAAGAAAACAGGGAUGUGGAAAUAUAAUAGAGGGAAUUCUAUUACACAGGUUGAAAGAAGGGCUGAGAAGCAAAACUGGGGACUAUAACUCAGGGGUUAGCAAAAGCUUAAGCUGCCAUUAAGCUAGAAAGUCAAAUAUACAACUACAACUAAAUAACUAGAUUGAUUCUUAAUCUCAACUCCAUAAUGGAAUCGAUGUAGCCAUAUUUGUUCAUUCCAUACAUUACUCCUACACAUCCCUCUCUCUCUGGUGAAUAUUUCACCAUUUAAAGAGGAAGAGGAAUUUGGAUACUGAAUGAUUUAUGAAAUGAUAAUACUUUGUCCUCAAUGAACUCAAAAACUCUAAUCCAUGAAAGCAGAAUUCCCCCAGAAAGAUGCUGUGGCUAUCAUCUGUGGUCUCUUUCUAAAGUGUUAAUAAGACAAGCAGAGGAAAUAUGAAAAGUAACAAGUACUUUCAUUUAUUUCCACUCAGUCAAAAUAUAAAGCAAUGGUUUACACAUCUUCAAUUUUUCUGACCAGUGCUUCAGAAUUUAGACUAUCACCACAAGACUCACCUUGAGAAGAAAUAAUUUCAAUCUCUAAAUUAACUAUGUUGGUCCUUCUUCCAGGGUGGAGCCUGUUGCCAGUUUGCUAUAACUCCAUACCAAGAGCAAUUACCUUGUCUCAUUAAUAGCACAAUAAGGCCUAUUAACCUUACAAACGUUAUUAGUCAACACUCAAUAAAUAUCAACACUCAGGUCUGCUGAAGAAGUUGGAUAGUCAAGACAUUUUAGCAAUCAAUUUUAGUAUGCAAAUUAGAAUUGUGAUGGAUUACUCCAUUACAAUGCAAUUGAGUAGCAUGAUGUUUACAACUGGAUUCUAGUGAACCCAAUUGGGAUUUCUGCAUGGUCUCCGUCCUGGAAAACCAGUUUGAAUUCCUAUACUCAGGCCAGAUUCCAAAAGACAUCAUAAUUAGGUCCCAGAAGAAUACACUGCAGCUGAAGAGGAUAUCCCCUGUAGAAUUAUAUGGGGGAAAGGCUGGCUAAAGCAAUGCUCACAUUCAUGCAAUUAUCCAGUUAAUUGCACAAGGUGAAUGGAGUCAGUAUAAUUAUGGCUAAGUUCAUGCUGUGAUUAGUCUUGUCCUGAAAAAAAUAGUGUAUUUUGAGAAAGAAGACAUAAUACUGGAGCAGACUCUUCAUCAACAUGUUUUAUUUCCUUUUGCAACACUUCAGUGAAAGUUCACUGAGACAAAGGUUUUAGCAAAUCUCAAAGCAAAAUGGGAAAAGUGCCAAGUAUUGGAUCUGACAUGUUUCGACCUACUCCAUUAUACCUCCUGUUGGCCCUCAUGUGAAAGGCCAUUCAUGGACAUUCAAUCAUAAUUACUUGCAGUUUAGUCCAAGAACCAGGCCCUCUGUUGUCAUAUUUACCAACAAACCUGAGGUUUUAAAUAAAGAAACUUAAUAGGGGAUUCCUGCAGCAAAAUUAUGAAGCACAGAACACAUGUGACAGGAUAGGGGGUGGUUAAGCAAGAAACUCACCUUUAUUGUGUCUUUUCUUCAUUGAGAUUUGUGCCAGGUAUUGGUGGUAAUGGUGAUGUGUGUGUGUGUUCUCAUCUGUUACUUUAUUAACUUAAAUUUUUAGCUCAACUAAUAAAAACAUUUGCUGAGUGCCUGUUGAGUGCCAGAGUCUGUGACACAGCAAACAUUUAACUUAAUAGAAAUUGUCAGCCAAUACUAAAAAGAGUAACGAAUUUUAAAUACUAGAAAGAAGCAAGUCCAUAUUCUUGUGUACUUAUUCACUCUUUCAACAUCUUUUACAAUAAACAGCAUUUUAGCUACUAGGGUGGAAGGAAAAUUGCCUAUUGAGGUAAUAAGUUGAAAUUCUUUACUUCAUAUGGAUAUUGUAAUUUUAAUACUUAAAUUUGGUUUUUUCUUUGUAUAAUUAAACAAUGUUGUUGUAUUUCAUGCAACUAUUGUUAAUUUCAUGUAAGUAUAUAAUAAUUCCUAAUAAGGUCUUUAGCUUUUGAGAAAAAAUAGUAUCAUUUUAUACACAAGACAUGAUGCUUGGGGUACACAAGAAAGUAAACCACAUAGAUCUUCCCUCCAGGAGAUUACAAUUAUGAAGAUAAGAAGCUUAAACUACUGUAUUUAACCUUAAAAUUAAAUUCAGCAAAAUUAAUCAUACUCUGAUGAUAUAGAAACCAUUUCAACAUUUUACAGUGUCCCAUAGUAUUAGAAACAACUGUUUUAAAUGCAAAACAGAGAAGUAACCAUCAAUAGAAAUUAUUGGCUUAUGAAAAAGUCAGAAAAUUAAGAGGGUAUCAUUUGUAUUGGUGAAUAUCCUAACAGGGAAUUCAAGUCAAAGGAAUUUUAACCAACUAGAUCCCUUAGGCUUUGUAAAACUUUUUUUUUCUGGUGGUUGUGGUGGGGUGGUGGGAGUAUGAAAACUAUCUCCAAAAAACUGUUUAAUAAAAAUGCAAAAUAUAUAAGGUUGCAAACUGUUUCCACAUAAGUAGCAUGUGUCUUAAUGUUUCCAUAUUUCCCCACAAAAUUCAGCACACACAUGGAAAAACAAUAACUACACAAUAAAUAAGUGACAAGGACUGGGCUCCUGGGUGGCUUAGUCAGUUAAGCAUUGGACUCUUAAUUUCAGCUCAGGUCACGAUCUCACGGUUCAAGGGAUGGAGCUUCGUAUUGAGCUCUGUGCUGACAGAGUGGAGCCUGCUAGGGAUUCUGUUUCUCCCUCUCUUUCCGCCCCAUCCCCACUGGUGCUUGCUCGCGUGCACUCUCUCCCUCUUCCUCUCUGUAAAAUAAACUUAAAAAAAUAAGUGGCCAAAAACCAGUAGCUGAAAAAGAUGAUUAAAAACAAAGUGCUAAACUGGUUUUAAUCAGAAUUUAUUGAUUACAUGCCCAACAAAUGAAUUCUUAUUUUUAGGGAAAAAUACAUUUUCCACAGUAUGGAUGAAUCACUUUCUACACUUCUUCCAGAAAUAGUUGCUUUUGAAAAAUACGUCUGAGAAAUAUCUAUAAUUUGCCAAUAUUAUUACAUCUCUGCCUCUAUAAUCCUAACAAACAUGACAGGGACUGAAAAUAUAAAUGAUCUGCUUGUUGUAAAUUACUAUCAGCAUUAGCCAAAACAUUUAAUAAUAGCACAAUCUUAGAUUCACACAAUGUUUUAAUUUUUAAAGAGUACAGGCUUUACUUCACUCUUAUUUUCAAUACUACCUUAUAAAAUAGGGAAGAUAGCAUUAUUCCCAUUGUAUUUUUCCUACUUGACUAGAGCACAGAGACUAAAUAAAAUCUCAAGGUAUCAAGGUAAUUUGAAAAAGCCUGGAUUUCAGUCCUAUAUUUACUUUUGAUUCUUCAAAGUCAAAACUCAUUCUAAUGCCACAAUAACAACAAAAUUAAUGCCUCCGUCUCCCAGAAGUAUAUCUGUGCUGUGCUCAAUGAAUUAUAUAGACUCAACAUAAAUAUAGGUAAGGUACAGGGUUGGAUUGCCUUACCUAUAACUGAUGUAACUAUCAAAUAAAAAUGGUAACAUUUAGUUUGUGCCUAGAAACUCUUAUUUUUUACUGAUUUUAUAGUUACAUCAAAAAUAGGUACAUGACUUACAACAAAGAGAAAGCAGUAUUUUCUUUACCUCAUCCAACUUUUGAAUACUGAGUGCUAUCAUAACACGAUAACAAACAGGCUAAUUCCAGAAUUAGUGGUUGAUGAGUAGCUGUGACAACAAAGAACCAAAGGAUUUCUUAUUCCUGAUUCCCAGAAAUAAGUUUUUAAAAGACUACAUUUACUUCUGAGCAUAUAAUACAACAAAGAGGUCACAACAGUUCAUAAUUGGCUCUAGAUAUUUCUUUUUUUUUUUAAGUUUAUUUAAGUAAUCUCUACAUUCCCACCUGGGGCUCAAACCCAUGAUCCCAAGAUCAAGAGUUGCACACUCUUCUGACUGAGCAGUCAGGCACCCCAUGGCUCUAAAUAUUUCUUAAUGAAAAAAAUUAACAAGUUAUUGUGAGCACUUUCACCCUAUUAGGGUUUAUGUAGCAGUGGGAUUUUUUUAAGCAACUUUAAUCUCCUUCCCCAUAUUCAUUCCCAGGUCCUUCUCUCUACAACCACCCAGAUUUUUUUUUUUUUAAUUUUUUUUUUCAACGUUUAUUUAUUUUUGGGACAGAGAGAGACAGAGCAUGAACGGGGGAGGGGCAGAGAGAGAGGGAGACACAGAAUCAGAAACAGGCUCCAGGCUCUGAGCCAUCAGCCCAGAGCCUGACGCGGGGCUCGAACUCACGGACCGCGAGAUCGUGACCUGGCUGAAGUCGGACGCCCAACCGACUGCGCCACCCAGGCGCCCCUACAACCACCCAGAUUUAAAUCACCUCUUCCACUUACUUCUUCUUUAACAAUAUUUUUAAAAAUUCAAAUUUAAGAAUUCACAUAAUCCCCCAAUAUAAACAUAUUAAAAUCUAUCCAUGAAAUACACUACCAAUCCUCUUUUAAUUUCUGAUAAAGUAAAAAAUGGCACCCAACCAGGUGUUUCUUCACUCAGUACAUUUAUUAAAAUAGUAAACUAAAGUUGAAAACUGUUGUUAGAGCCUUUUAUACAAGUUAUAACUUGAUUUUCUAAGUUGUUAAACUGUUCAGAAGACUAAUGACCAAAAUUAAACAGUUGAGGUUAAUCUGUGAAUUACAGCAGAUCUAGGAGCGGAUGAGUGAGUGUGUAAGUAGCAUAUUUUGUAGUAUUUACUCAUUUCAUUUAUUCAUUCAACAAUAUUACUGUUAUUAUAACUGAGCAUCAACUAUGUACCAAGUACCAUACUUGGUGCUGGAGAUACAAUAGUAAACUAAAUAGUCCAUGAUAAAUUUUAAAAGUCUACUUUUGAAGCUAAGUUUCUCUUAGAAAACACAGCCAAGAGUGGAUGCAACUCUUAACCAAUAACCUUUCCUCAUUGAAAACCACUCCAUAUGGAAUCACAGACUCGCAGAACAGAGUUUAAAGAUUAUGUAGUACAAGGAUUAAUAAUAGGAUUUAACACCUAAAGCUGAAAAUCAAGAAGCAAAAAGAUGUCUGGAGCAUUUAGAUGAUGAUAGUUAAAACUUAUUGAGGAGCUACUGUAUGUCUUUAGUACAUUCCAAAGAAUCACACUAUGUAAAACAAGCAGGAAUUUGAAUUUAGUAAAUUUGUGUUGGGACCCACAAAGAGGCAUUUUUAACAACCCUGUGGGAUUGUGAUAUGAAGAGAACACACUUUGAGAAAGACUACCAUACCUGAAUAUCUCAAGAAUAAGAAUAGGGACAUGGAGGUUUUUCCAAGUUUUACAAAGCCCCUUUGAAAAAUAAAGGUCUGCUAUAAACAUUGGGGUACAAGUGCCCCUAUACAUCAGCACUCCUGUAUCUCUUGGGUAAAUUCCUACCAGUGCUAUUGCUGGGUCAUAGGGUAGAUCUAUUUUUAAUUUUUUGAGGAACUUCCAUACUGUUUUCCACAGCGGCUGCACCAGGAGGGCACCUUUUGGGAUGAGCACUGGGUGUUGUAUGGAAACCAAUUUGACAAUAAAUUUCAUAUUUAAAAAAGAAAAGAAAAGAAAAACAAAGGUCUGGAGUUCAUUUGCAUUUGGCAAAGUCUAACUUUCUAUUUCUAAGAACCAAAUGCUAGUAGGAAAGGUCUUUUUGGAGACUAAGUAGUUCUUAGACUCCAGCUAUGUGAGAUGUCUAAAUGAAUAUGAAACACAUGAAGUAAAACAUGUGGGCAUUUUAAGUGAGGAAAAGAGCACUUUGCAAAACUGGAUGGGAGGUUUUAAUGGAAUUCAGAGCACUACAAGAAGUCUGACAAACCAAACCAUGAAAGUCUUCCCUGUUUUUUAAAGGGCAGGUUUUCCCUCAAACCAUAUGGGUGUUAUACUAAGAGAAGCAAGCAUAAGUCAAGAACCUUAAUUUGAUAAGCUGGGGUUGGCCUCUCAAAAAUGUUUGGAUAGGCAUAUUUUUGUUUAAUAUACCUAGUAUUCUUUUUAAGGUUCUAAAGAACAAUCAUGAAACUCAAAGAAGAGAAAGGUGUAUACGCCAAUCAGAUGUGAAACCCUAACUAGUGUGUUGAGUUGUUUCUAGAUGGUUCAGUGCCAAAUAAAUUACAUAUGUUGACCACCUAUCACUGCUUUGCCUCAGUGCCCUCUACAAGCUUUAUGUCUUAAAGUUCAAGAAUUAAAUCUAAUUGCUCUUACCCAAAAAGUUCCCUAAUGAACACACAUUCUUCUUGCAACAGUAGAUUCUCUGUAAAAAUUAGAAAUUGACUUCUAAAUGAGGGUGACAUGUAGGGAAUGCUAACAAAUGAGAAGUCCUCUGUUUUGCCAUUCAAUGUUUUUCAAUUCUAUCCAGAAAAAAAAGAACAAAUACGAAUAACUGAGGGAAAAAAGGAGGCAACAGAUAUUCUGUUGGUGUGAAGAGACUGUUUUAUCAUUAGAUUGUAACCUUCUCAAAAAUAGAGAUUAUGACUUUUUAUAUUCCAUUAACAUCCUUAACAGUCUUUUAAAUGAACUUCAUUUUAUGUAACUUAUUUUUCCUAAUAAAUUCAGUAUAAAAAUUUACUUUUCAAAAUGCACAAAAGGAACUCACUAAGAGGAAGUUUUCUCUGCUUUCUAAAGGGGGGGGAAAAACACCAAAAAGUACUAUCAAUACUUCUCCAAUUUUUCUGAUUUGCAAAUUUGCCUUAAUAUAGAUCAGAUUUCCUUAAAGCAGGGCAUCCCACUAUUGUUAAUUAAUGCACAUUAAACACCAUUUAUUAAUGUUAAUAAAUGUACUUUUUGAGACACAGAUCAAUUUCAUUAUCUUUAUGGGCUAUAAAUUAUAAAUUAGCAUCCCUCUUUUAUAAAAUCAGAAACCAUGAUUUUAGUCACACUUGAGAAUCAGAUAAAUCUAGGUGCUUGAAUCACAUGGAAUUCAUUGCUCCUAAAAAAGAUUCUCACUAGGUCACCAUGGAGCUUAAACUAUCGUCAGUGGUUUCCUCUCAUCCACAAUAUUAAGUGCAAGCUACUUUAUAUGAAAUGAGAUCACAGAAGGAUCUCUGUGUCUCCCUACUCUGCAGCCUCAUCUCCCCUAACUUCCCUGUUUAACUUUAGCUCCCACACCACUGUCUCUUGACCUUGUGCCACUGCAACCUUGUUCUGCUUCUAAGGUACCCACUUUCCCCUUCUAGUACCAUGACUCAUCCUUGCCUGGCUAGUUCCAAUCCAUUUAUCACCUCAUUUGGGAUGCAUUUCCUAAUCCUAAACCCUAUCUAGCCCUACCAGCAUGUACCAAUGUUUUUGAUAUUGAUAUACUUACCAACUUAUUUCACAAUUAGCAUCCAUUUUUUUUAAAAAAGUAUCUGCCCUACUGGGCUAGACUCCUUGAGGACAAGGGCAGUUAUUAUUUAAGGACUGAACGCUAAGUAUUGAGCACAGUGCCUGGCAAUGAGUUCUCACUAAACUUGUGAAGGAAGAAAUGAAUGAAGGAAGGAAGGGUGGGAGGAAGAAAAGAAAGCAUAAGGAGAAAAUAAAGGAGUGGAGAAGAAAAGAGAGAGAGGAGGGAGAAAGGAAGGAAGGCAGAAAGAGGGUAUGAGGAGAAAGGGAAGAGUGAGGAGAAAGAAUGAGGAAAGAAAAGAGAGAGGGAUACAGUUCAUAGCUUGGAUCUUAAUGAUGAGUCUGUCUAUAUUGUGUUUAAGGUGAAGUACAUUGACAAAUUUGAUCAAGGUAUUCAGAUAAUUCAUAUUAAAAUCAAUAAUUAAUCAAUUCACACCAGUUCACCUAAAUGGUCCCAUAAGCAACACAUUCAGAAUACUGAACUUCUUGACAAAAAACAAUCAGCAGGACUCAAACAACCAAGCGAAACUAAUAUCCAUCUGAUUUGUUAAUCUGAAAGUAAAUAGCCUUGGUUGGUAUGGAAAUAAAUUAGUUCCCAUUGUAAUUAGUUCCCAUUAGUUCUCUUCUAAUAAAAAGCAAUAAUUUAUAGUCAUAUUUUAGAUGCCCAUCUAAUCUGACCUCUUUAUAUUGCAGAUAAGGUAAAUGAAGUCCAAAGAAAUGUCAGGAUAUCAUCUAAAUGGCAAUAAAUUCAUAGAACAAUAAUAAUACAAAGCUGUAAAGUUAGUUAAAUCAAAAGAUCUAACUAUGAAUCAGGAAAUAAUCACCAAGCUUAGUCACACUAACAUUUUAACAAUAAUCUAUGUAAAGGCAAAGAAUGAGGCUUGUUUCACACAAAACCAUAGUGGAAUCAAAGAACCAUUAAACUUCAUUGUUGGAAAGAGCAAAGUUCAGAUUUGCCAAUUCCCUGUGAGAAGCUUAAAUGGAUCUGCUGCAUCCUUACUAAAUGCGGGAAUAGAGAUAUGUAAAACCAAAAUACAAGCAUCAACUAUCCUUUAAGAAUCAAUAGUACUUUUGUUUAGGAAUUUGGGGGAUAAAUAAUCACUGAACAACUGUUACCUUCAAGGCACUAAACUAGCUAUUGCAUGGGACACAAAUAUGAAUAAAAAAUAGAAUUCAUUCUUAAUGACUUCUAAUCUGAUAGGAAACAAUGUACACAGAUACACAUAUCUGUAGCAUAUGGUAGAGAAAUACAUUCACCUACCCAUGAGUCCACAAUGGAGAAAAGAAACUGGGCUUGCACUUUGAAUUCCAGCUCUUCAACUUACUAACUAGAUGACCUAGAUAAUUUCAGGUUUUAAAUUACUUAACUUGCAUCUACAUUUUUAGAAAAUCAAUGAAAUAAUAAUGAUAUAAGUUAAAAUAUAUGAGUCUAGUACAGAAUGUAGAUACCUAGUAAUGAUGACAAUAAUAACAUCCAAUAGUUAUUAAGCACUUACAUGCCAGGCAUCUACAUAUUUUAACUCAGUUAAUCUUCAAAACAACUCGAUAACAUAGGUACUAUUAUUACCUGUAUUUUAUAUAUGGGGAAAUUGAGACACACAGCAGUUAAGUAAUUUUCCCAAGGACAUGCAGCUAUGUGUUAAAACUGGAAUUCAGAUCCAGGCAGACUGGCUUCAGAGCCUAUUCUCAAAAAAAUGUUUGUUGAAUGCAUUCAAGAUCCCUGUAAUAAAGGAGCCACCCAACCUUUCAUAAGGAAACAACCAUUCUUAGUAUUCUUUUCAAUUUAACAUUGAGAACAAAGUGGGAAGACAUGACCAUCAUCCAACCUAAAACCAGGGGUAUUUCAGAUACAUUUCAGUCCAGUGAGAUAAAGAUACAAGACAACAAAGAAAUACUGUUUAUUUUAAAUCUUUAAGAUAUUGUUUAUUUUAAAAACUAUUUCAUAAUAAACAAGUAUCUCAAAGAUUUCACAAUUAAAGAGAUAAAUUUAUCUCUGCCUGCCAUAUUCCUUUGACUUUUAAUAAAGACAAAGAUAUCUGCUUCUCUUGGAGCAGUCUUUCAAGAAAGUAUUGACAGUAUGUAUCGACCACAACAGAAUUUUACUAACUGAAAGAUCCAGUAACUUUAUCUUAAAUUUACAUAAUAUAUUCUUAGCUUCUCUGUUUUUCCACAAAUGUGGAAUGAUUUAUCUUUAACAGAAACUUGUGUACUGUUGAUCAACAAAAUGGGAAAAAAAAGAACAGUUUUGGUUUUUCAAUCCCACUUUGGUGUCACAAUUCCUCAAGCCAACUUAAUUGAAUAAUAUUCACCAAAGUUUGCAAACUCAUGUCAAAAAAAAAAAAAAAAGCACAGAGGAAGUAUGCUGUGGUUCUGUAGAAUCAAGAGUCCAAGCAAAUGCUUCUUGAGUUAUCUGAUCAUGUCAUAGAGUCCCAUUAUUUUAGAGCUGAAAUGAAUUCUAAAUAUGACUCUGUCUUAUAGUCCCCUGGUUUGGUGGUAUAUUGGAAUCAUCAGGGAAUUUCAUUUUUUAAGCUUUUGAGUUCUUGAAAAUAAAAAAAUCGAACCUACAGAAAAAUUGAGAAUAGUAUACUCUUCACCUAGUUUUACCAGUUAUUUAGUAUUUUGCCAAUUUUAACUUUCCCUUUCCUGCUUUUCCACAUUCCUUUUUAAAAAUUAAUUUAUUUAAAUUCAAGUUAGUUAAGAUACAGUGUAGUAUUAGUUUCAGGAGUAGAACCCAGUGAUUCAUCAGUUACAUAUAACACCAGUGCUCAUCAUAACAAGUGCCCUCCUUAAUGCCCAUCACCCAUUUAGUCCAUCCUCCUGCCUCCCCUCCAGCAACUCUAUUUGUUCUCUGUAUUUGUCUCAUGGUUUGCCUCCCUCUCUGUUUUUACCUUAUUUUCCCUUUCCUUCCCUCAUAUUCAUCUGUUGUGUUUCUUAAAUUCCACAUAUGAGUGAAACCAUAUGAUAUUUGUGUUUCUCUGACUGACUUAUUUUGCUUAGCAUAAUAUACUCUAUUCUUGUUUUUAUUUAUAUUUUUAUAGAAUAUGUCAUUUGCAGAGCCAUUUUAGAGUAAAUUGCAAAUACCAUGACCAGAGUGGACACUGUGGUCUGACACGUAUAAGAGUUUGGCAAUGAAUAGCUUGCAACUGAGUCCCCUUCUGAAACU
rnacentral:lncRNA from 1 species